CAGCAGCCGCGGUAAUACAGAGGAUGCAGGCGUUAUCCGGAAUGAUUGGGCGUAAAGGGCUCGCAGGCGGUUUCUUAAGUCUGAUGUGAAAGCCCCCGGCUCAACCGGGGAGGGUCAUUGGAAACUGGGAAACUUGAGUGCAGAAGAGGAGAGUGGAAUUCCACGUGUAGCGGUGAAAUGCGUAGAGAUGUGGAGGAACACCAGUGGCGAAGGCGACUCUCUGGUCUGUAACUGACGCUGAGGAGCGAAAGCGUGGGGAGCGAACAGGAUUAGAUACCCCAGUAGUCCCUGUCUCUUAUAC
rnacentral:rRNA from 1 species